GUAGGGUCCGAGCGUUGUCCGGAAUUACUGGGCGUAAAGCGCGCGCAGGCGGCUUCCCAAGCGCCACGUGAAAGCCCCGGGCUCAACCCGGGAGGGUCGCGGCGAACUGGGAGGCUUGAGGCCGGUAGAGGUGGGUGGAACUCCUGGUGGAGUGGUGAAAUGCGUAGAGAUCAGGAAGAACACCCGUGGCGAAGGCGGCCCACUGGGCCGGUGCUGACGCUGAGGCGCGAAGGCGUGGGGAGCGAACGGGAUUAGAUACCCCGGUAGUCCACGCAGUAAACGAUGUCGACUCGGUGUGGGCGGUCUUGACCCCGUCCGCGCCACAGCUAACGCGACAAGUCGACCGCCUGGGGAGUACGGCCGCAAGGCUA
rnacentral:rRNA from 1 species